rnacentral:rRNA from 1 species
GAUGAACGCUGGCGGCGUGCCUAACACAUGCAAGUCGAACGGAGCUGCUUUGAUGAAGUUUUCGGAUGGAUUUAAAACAGCUUAGUGGCGGACGGGUGAGUAACGCGUGGGUAACCUGCCUCACACUGGGGGAUAACAGUUAGAAAUAGCUGCUAAUACCGCAUAAGCGCACAGUUCCGCAUGGAACAGUGGGAAAAACUCCGGUGGUGUGAGAUGGACCCGCGUCUGAUUAGCCAGUUGGCGGGGUAACGGCCCACCAAAGCGACGAUCAGUAGCCGGCCUGAGAGGGUGAACGGCCACAUUGGGACUGAGACACGGCCCAAACCCCUACGGGAGGCAGCAGUGGGGAAUAUUGCACAAUGGGGGAAACCCUGAUGCAGCGACGCCGCGUGAGUGAAGAAGUAUUUCGGUAUGUAAAGCUCUAUCAGCAGGGAAGAAAGUGACGGUACCUGAAUAAGAAGCCCUGGCUAACUACGUGCCAGCCGCCGCAGUAA